GUGUUUCAGGUGACCCAUUCCUCCUCCCAAAGGGCGCCUGACGGAACAGCGGCACUCCUCCUCCCAGCCGUUGUUCAAUUCUUUCGAAAAGCCUGCCGCACCUCCUCCCGCGGCAGGCUUUUUCG
rfam:Rhizobium freirei PRF 81 plasmid pPRF81b Cont743, whole genome shotgun sequence.